rnacentral:rRNA from 1 species
AUUGAACGCUGGCGGCAGGCCUAACACAUGCACGUCGAGCGAGCUGCGGACGGGUGAGUAAUGUAUGGGGACUGCCCGAUCGAGGGGGAUCACUACUGGAAACGGUGGCUAAUAUCGCAUACUGUCGGAUACUCCAUCUGGGAUUUGCGAGUAGUUAAGGUAAUGGCUUACCUAGGCGCCGAUCCCUAGCUGGUCUGAGAGGAUGAUCAGCCACACUGGGAUUGCGACACGGCCCAGACUCCUACGGAGGCAGAAGUGGGGAAUAUUGCACAAUGGGAGCAAGCCUGAUGUAGCCAUGCCUCGUUGAUGAAGAAGGCCCUAGGGUUGUAAAGUACUUUCAGUCGGGAGGCGUUACCGACAGAAGAAGCACCGGCUAACUACGUGCCAGCAGCCGCGGUAAUUC